GACGAACGCUGGCGGCGUGCUUAACACAUGCAAGUCGAGCGGUAAGGCCCUUUCGGGGGUACACGAGCGGCGAACGGGUGAGUAACACGUGGGUGACCUGCCCUCAGCUCUGGGAUAAGCCUGGGAAACCGGGUCUAAUACUGGAUAUGACUCCAUGACGCAUGUUGUGGGGUGGAAAGCCUUGUGCGGCUGAGGAUGGGCCCGCGGCCUAUCAGCUUGUUGGUGGGGUGAUGGCCUACCAAGGCGACGACGGGUAGCCGGCCUGAGAGGGCGACCGGCCGACACUGGGACUGAGACACGG
rnacentral:rRNA from 1 species